ACGGGUGCGUAACGCGUAUGCAAUCUACCUUUUACAGAGGGAUAGCCCAGAGAAAUUUGGAUUAAUACCUCAUAGUAUAGCUGAAUCGCAUGAUUCUACUAUUAAAGUCACAACGGUAAAAGAUGAGCAUGCGUCCCAUUAGCUAGUUGGUAAGGUAACGGCUUACCAAGGCUACGAUGGGUAGGGGUCCUGAGAGGGAGAUCCCCCACACUGGUACUGAGACACGGACCAGACUCCUACGGGAGGCAGCAGUGAGGAAUAUUGGACAAUGGGCGCAAGCCUGAUCCAGCCAUGCCGCGUGCAGGAUGACGGUCCUAUGGAUUGUAAACUGCUUUUAUACGAGAAGAAACACUGCUUCGUGAAGCAGCUUGACGGUAUCGUAAGAAUAAGGAUCGGCUAACUCCGUGCCAGCAGCCGCGGUAAUACGGAGGAUCCAAGCGUUAUCCGGAAUCAUUGGGUUUAAAGGGUCCGUAGGCGGUUUAAUAAGUCAGUGGUGAAAGCCCAUCGCUCAACGGUGGAACGGCCAUUGAUACUGUUAAACUUGAAUUAUUAGGAAGUAACUAGAAUAUGUAGUGUAGCGGUGAAAUGCUUAGAGAUUACAUGGAAUACCAAUUGCGAAGGCAGGUUACUACUAAUGGAUUGACGCUGAUGGACGAAAGCGUGGGUAGCGAACAGGAUUAGAUACCCUGGUAGUCCACGCCGUAAACGAUGGAUACUAGCUGUUGGAAGCAAUUUCAGUGGCUAAGCGAAAGUGAUAAGUAUCCCACCUGGGGAGUACGUUCGCAAGAAUGAAACUCAAAGGAAUUGACGGGGGCCCGCACAAGCGGUGGAGCAUGUGGUUUAAUUCGAUGAUACGCGAGGAACCUUACCAAGGCUUAAAUGUAGAUUGACCGGUUUGGAAACAGAUCUUUCGCAAGACAAUUUACAAGGUGCUGCAUGGUUGUCGUCAGCUCGUGCCGUGAGGUGUCAGGUUAAGUCCUAUAACGAGCGCAACCCCUGUUGUUAGUUGCCAGCGAGUCAUGUCGGGAACUCUAACAAGACUGCCAGUGCAAACUGUGAGGAAGGUGGGGAUGACGUCAAAUCAUCACGGCCCUUACGCCUUGGGCUACACACGUGCUACAAUGGCCGGUACAGAGAGCAGCCA
rnacentral:rRNA from 1 species